CCUACGGGUGGCAGCAGUGAGGAAUAUUGGUCAAUGGGCUUACGCCUGAACCAGCCAAGUCGCGUGAGGGAAGACUGCCCUAUGGGUUGUAAACCUCUUUUGUCAGGGAGCAAAUGGCGCUACGUGUAGCGCUAUCGAGAGUACCUGAAGAAAAAGCAUCGGCGAACUCCGUGCCAGCAGCCGCGGUAAUAGGGAGAAUGCGAGCGUUAUCCGGAUUUGUUGGGUUUAAAGGGUGCGUAGGCGGAAUGCCAAGUCAGCGGUAAAAUCGCGGGGCUCAACCUCACUUCGCCGUUGAAACUGGCGUGCUUGAGUGGGCGAGAGGUAUGCGGAAUGCGUGGUGUAGCGGUGAAAUGCAUAGAUAUCACGCAGAACUCCGAUUGCGAAGGCAGCAUACCGGCGCCCAACUGACGCUGAAGCACGAAAGCGUGGGUAUCGAACAGGAUUAGAUACCCCAGUAGUC
rnacentral:rRNA from 1 species